UACGGGGGGGGCAAGCGUUGUUCGGAAUUACUGGGCGUAAAGGGUGCGUAGGCGGUUCGCUAAGUUGGAUGUGAAAACUCUGGGCUUAACCCAGAGCCUGCAUCCAAUACUGACGAGCUAGAGUUCUGGAGGGGGUAGCGGAAUUCCUGGUGUAGCGGUGAAAUGCGUAGAUAUCGGGAGGAACACCUAUGGCGAAGGCAGCUCGCUGGGACGUUACUGACGCUGAGACGCGAAAGCGUGGGGAGCAAACAGG
rnacentral:rRNA from 1 species